UACAGAGGUCCCAAGCGUUGUUCGGAUUCACUGGGCGUAAAGGGUGCGCAGGUGGGUUUGCAAGUUCGAUGUGAAAGCCCCGGGCUUAACCCGGGAAUGGCAUUGAAUACUGCAGAUCUGGAGGAUCGGAGGGGGGACUGGAAUUCUUGGUGUAGCAGUGAAAUGCGUAGAUAUCAAGAGGAACACCAGUGGCGAAGGCGAGUCCCUGGACGAUACCUGACACUGAGGCACGAAAGCUAGGGGAGCAAACAGG
rnacentral:rRNA from 1 species